rnacentral:misc_RNA from 1 species
GUAGAUACUGCACAGAAAUGGGAGUGUGCUUUUGCUAAGAAACAACAAAAGUUGGUACAAACAACUAGAAACUUGGUUGAUGAUGUUUGGAAAAAUCGGCUACCUGCCCAAGCAAAUCCUGUAAUUGUGCAUCCGUUGCAAUUUGCUGGUCAGUCUGUUGCAGAGAAGUUGAAAGAAUUGAGGAAAAAGCUUGUAAUGGGGAAAGCUUGUGCUAUUAUUAUAACAGCGCUUGAUGAAGUUGCAUGGUUAUAUAAUGUCCGUGGCAGUGACGUAUCAUAUUGCCCAGUUGUUCAUGCAUUUGCGAUUGUGACUAUAGAUUCAGCCUUCUUCUACGUGGAUAAGCAAAAAUUGUCUCCUGAGGCAAACUCUUACAUGGAAGAAAAUGGAAUUAUGGUGCGGGAUUAUGGUGAUGUUAGCUCAGAUGUGGUCCUCCUUGCAUCUGAUCAACUCACUUCUUGCUCCUCAACUAAGGGGUCUAAAGGGAACCCAAAGAUUGAUGUUAGAAAUGCCACUUGUGUAGGAAAUAGUGAUAGUCAUGCUGCUGAGUUUGUAAAUGACCUCAUUUGGGUUGAUCCUGGAGCAUGUUGCUUCGCUUUGUAUUCUAAAUUGAGUGCUGAUAAAGUUCUCCUUCAGCAAUCACCUUUGGCCCUUGCAAAAGCUCUGAAGAACCCUGUUGAGAUAGAAGGAUUAAAGAAGGCCCAUUUUCGGGAUGGGGCAGCUGUUG